CCCCUUUUAAAAGCACUUAGUGGGCCCUUUGCUAAUGACCCAUUGAACCGUCAAGAAGGAGCAGAGUAAAAACACUGCUUUUGGGUGAAGAGGCAGCAUGUGUUGUUUUGCUUCAAUCGGUGGUAUGACAAGU
rnacentral:snoRNA from 1 species